rnacentral:rRNA from 1 species
UAUGCGAUAGCUUGGUGUGAAUUGCAGAAUUCAGUGAAUCAUCGAAUCUUUGAACGCACCUUGCGCCCUUUGGUAUUCCGAGGGGCAUGCCUGUUUGAGUGUCAUUAAAUACCAUCAACCCUCUUUUGACUUCGGUCUCGAGAGUGGCUUGGAAGUGGAGGUCUGCUGGAGCCUAACGGAGCCAGCUCCUCUUAAAUGUAUUAGCGGAUUUCCCUUGCGGGAUCGCGUCUCCGAUGUGAUAAUUUCUACGUCGUUGACCAUCUCGGGGCUGACCUAGUCAGUUUCAAUAGGAGUCUGCUUCUAACCGUCUCUUGACUGAGACUAGCGACUUGUGCGCUAACUUUUGACUUGACCUCAAAUCAGGUAGGACUACCCGCUGAACUUAAGCAUAUCAAUAAGCGGAGGAA